rnacentral:rRNA from 1 species
AUUGAACGCUGGCGGCAGGCCUAACACAUGCAAGUCGAACGAGUGGCGGACGGGUGAGUAAUGUCUGGGAAACUGCUUGAUGGAGGGGGAUAACUACUGGAAACGGUAGCUAAUACCGCAUACCAUCAGAUGUGCCCAGAUGGGAUUAGCUAGUUGGUGGGGUAACGGCUCACCAAGGCGACGAUCCCUAGCUGGUCGGAGAGGAAGACGAGACACACGUGAACUGAAACACGGUCCAGCUUCCUACGGGAGGCAGGAGUGGGGAAUAGUGGACAAUGGACGCAAGCCUGAUGCGGAACUGCCGCGUGUAUUAAGAAGGCCUUGGGGUUGUAAAGUACUUUCAGAGAGGAGGCGUUACCCUCAGAGGAAGCACCGGCUAACUCCGUGCCAGCGGCCGCGGUAAUAC